AUAUAUUACAAAUACUUCUCCCGCCCUGUGGCUUGCCUUUAUGCAGGGUUUUCUAUGCACAGGGGAAAUAAUCUUGUAACUAGCUCAGGCAUAACCUUUGUCAGCUAUCUUUGCCAGAUAGAUUUUAUAAAAAUCAAAUCAUGUGAAUCUUAAAUAACAUAAUCUUUUCAUAGUGGCAUGCCUGAGUGUGGGAUUUGAGAGAAGAGGAAAUCAUGUGAGUUUUUAAAUUUUUGUCAAACUUUGUAGUUUUAUUAGAUUACUGUUUCAUUAAGACUUGGUUUGUAUUUUUCUUCUUUAGGUCUGCAUGUUUAUGGGCCGUAUAUGUAUGGUGUGGACAGUGCCAGCUGCUUACCCUGUUUUCAUUCUCCUCUCCUUUACCAACAGAGCCCUACUUUGUGCAGAGCUGCAGUGAGCACAGUAAAAACUACUUGCUUUCCUGGGACCCUUUGAAGUUAGAGUUGGUUUUGUGACAGGUUCUACCAAUAAAUAUGGAUAGAAGUCUUUUGGGUGGGACUUCCAGGAAACCUACUGCUUUUCUAAAAAAGAAAAAAAAAAAGAGAGAUAGACUUAGUUAACAAAAAUGUUGCCCUUUCUCUCUUCUUUCCUAAAAAGUGGUCAUGAUGCUUCAGUGCUUUGCAGCCAUCCUGCAGUCUUGACAGUGGGAGACCCAUGCUGAAGAUGGUGGAGUCAGUUCUUUAAUGGCAUCGUGGGGGUCAUUGUUCAAACCUUGAACCCCACUGUAUUAGGGUUCUCCAGAGAAACAGACCUACAAGGAGAUUGUAUAUAUGGAAUUGAUUCCUUUGAUUAUGGAGGCUGAGAAGUCCCAUGAUCUGCUGUCUGCAAGCAGGAGAGCCAGUGGUGUAAAUUCCAGUCUGAAUCCAAAGGCUGGAGAUCCAGGAGAGCCUCUGGCAAGUCCCACUUUGAGGGAGGGAGAGGACCAGCGUUCCAGCUCCACGGUCAGGCAGAGAGAGCAGCUUCUCCCUCACCCCACCUCUUGUUCUAUUCAGGCCCUCGACAGAUUGGAUGAGGCCCAUCCACACUGGAGAGCAAUCUUUUACUCAGUUCACCGAUUCAGAUGUUCAUCUCAUCCAGAAACACCCUCACAGACACACCCAGAGUAACGUUUAACCAGACAUCUGGGCACCCGGGUCGUGGUCAAGUUGACCCAUAAAAUUAAUCAUUACAGCUGCCUUCCUCUGGACCUCACGUUCUCUGAGGACAGUAUUGGGUAAGCUCCUGCAGUUGUGUUUCCAUAUAUUCUGUGGAAUUCAGUCCCUAAGCAAUAUACACGUUACUCAGAUUUCUCAGCUUUCAGAACCAUUGAGGCGUGUAGCAAGUGUGUCCCAGUGCCCUGAGGUCCCGUCUACCCCAACGGGAACAAGACCUGACUCUGCCACGUCCACAUCCUACUAUGAUACACGUAAGUGUAACAGUGUGUGCGGGAAUGAGCUCUGGAUAUCGGCACCAGGUCAUUUCAACUGCAGAAAAGUCAUGAACCAAACGGACGUUAAAGGCAGUUCAGAGACAGCCAGGUUUCAGAGCAGACAGAGGUCUGGCCUGUGGUGGAGAUUCUUGUCACUCCGUUGGACAGAGGCAUCUAGCUCUUGUUCUCUUGUGUUACUGCCAAAUCUCCAUUAGACUUAGAAAUGACUUUGAGAGGAAUAAACUGAAUACCUCUACGGAUGUGAAAGGUGUUUGAGAAAAUGCACGAUUGUGCUUUCAUCAUUUGGGGGGAAAGUAUCUUUUUUUUUAAAAUUUAUUUUUGGCUGUGUUGGGUCUUCGUUGCUGCACGCGGGCUUUCUCUAGUUGCAGCGAGCGGGGGCUACUCCUCGUGCGCGGGCUUCUCAUUGCGGUGGCUUUUCGUUGCAGAGCACAGGCUCUAGGCAUGUGGGCUUCAGUAGUUGUGGCAUGCGGGCUCAGUAGUUGUGGCUUGUGGGCUCUAGAGCGCAGGCUCAGUAGUUGUGGCGCACAGGCUUAGUUGCUCCGCAGCAUGUGGGAUCUUCCCGGACCAGGGCUGGAACCCGUGUCCCCUGCACUGGCAAGCGGAUUCUUAACCACUGCGCCACCAGGGAAGUCCCGGGGGAAAGUAUCUUGAUACGCUUCCACCUGUUACUACCACGGUCCCUUCUAGAACAGUAACUCACAUUACGCUAACGUGGGCCGAAAGGGUACAUGUGUUUUUUGCAAAAUUAUAAAAAAUUGUGUUUGCCUCUCCUGCAGCACCUGCCACACCCUGCUUCGGGAUGAGACCCUGCAAACCACGUUUCUCCUUUGCUGACUGGCUUUUUGUUGGGUUCUACUGAUGGUGGGGCGCACGGGAGAUGGGAACCCCGAGGAGGGAAGAAGGGGCCUGUUGCUCGAUGUUUGCCUCCUGUCCCUGGCGGUGGUGGCCCAGCCGCGGGUCGCAGCCCAGCAGUGACAGUUCAUUCUUGGAGGAGGAGGUCCUGGCUCGCAGGAUUGCCACACUUUCAUAGAACCAGCUCUGCCUCUCGAAAAUCGCAGCGCCAUCAGCCGGUGCCCCUUUCAGACCUUUGAAUCCCGGCUCCGUGAGGUCCUGCCACGUCCCGAGGCACCGGUACCAGCUGUGCAGUGUCCACGCCUCAGAGGUCUGACUCCCAGCUCCGCGGGCGCCCCCUUCAGCUUCUGGGUCUUCAGAGUCCCUUGUCUCUGUUUCCCAGCCCUAAGGGUGUGGGCUGCUUCCCUUGGUUAUCACCUCUGUCGCCUCUGCACUAUCCUGUUCACAACCCUUGAUAUUCAACCCUUUCCGUUAAAAUAAGUGGCGUGGUCUUGGCCUCCUGAUUGAACAGGCAGCUGGAUUCGCAGUUCCUGUGCGAGGGGGAAUGAGGCCAGGUCCUCUUCCGGCACCCCCAGCUCAGGUUGGCUUCCCACUGGCACGCGUGGCCUUUGCUCCUAGAUCCUGGGAUCCACCCCAAGCACGGAGAACUAAGGCGAUGGAGAAGCGGGUAUUUCACCUCCUGUGCGGGCGUGCAGUCCUGUCCUCGUGCCCCGCCUCCUCCAUUCCCACCCUGCUCGUCCUCAGUCUCUUCAAGACCUUCUGUCCACUCACUCCUCCACUCGCUGCUACUUCAUCGUCACCUUCUUGGCUUUGCUUUUCUGUGUAGUCCGUCUAGAUCCCGUUGUCACCGCUUCACUCAAUCACCAGGACCGUCUACUCUCCUGCCCUGUUGCCCUCCGGCCACACUGCACUACACAGCCCGGGACUGGCACGUUCCAUCUGUCCCCUCCCGCGCCCACCAGCAGGUGCCACUGGAGGGGGUGCACACGCCAAGUGUCCGGUGUCAGCUGGGCCCCAAGUGAUGCCUGGAGGGCAUUCUCCACCUCCUCUCCUCUCAGGGCUGUUCUCACCUGUGACUCUGCUCCAGCCCGACCCUGCCCUCCUUUCCUGUCUCACCUGGAGGGUGGCCUCACCUAUCUUUUCUCACACCGGGCUGAGUAUGGAGGCAAAGCUUCAGGUCUGUUUCCCACACUCACCACCUGUUCUUACCUUACUUGGAGGAGAAGGGGUUGCUCCUCCUGUCAUGGGCUAGAUCUUCCACUGACCAACCUUGCUUACCCAAUACUGUCCUCAUGACACAUCUCCUAAUGUGCCAUGUAAUUUGCUUUCAUUUUCUCCCUCCUUCUACUCCCAGGAGAAUAUAUAUCUUCCGAGAGCAGGGAUUUCACAUCCAUUUGGUUGACCAUGAGGUGAGAAAGAAAGUCAUCAUGGUUGAUUCCAAGGGUUUUGGCCUGAGCCCUGGAAGACUGGAAUUGCCUCUGACUCAGCUGAGGAAGGUCAUUAAUGGAGCAGGUUUGGAGGGAACGUCAGAAAUUCAGCUCUGGACGUGUUAGCACGUUAGACAUCCAUGUGGAGCUGUUGAGUGGGCUGGAGGAUUGGACCAGUUUUAGAGCUGAGGUCCAGGGUACAGGGAGAGACACAAGUGUCCUCAGCAUAAGACACUUAAAACCAUGGACAAGAUGAGAGCUACAGGAAAUGACUGUGGAUGGUAAAGAGGAGGCCUUGAACUGAGCUCUGGGACACUCCAGCGCCCAGACCUCGGGCAGAUGAAGAAAAACCAUCAAGGAGGUUGGCGGGAGGAGCCCUGACUGUGAUGAGGAAGAAAACCUGGAGGAUGUGCUGCCCUGGGUUCAGGUGGCAAGAGUGUUUCCAUGAAGGACGCCAGAGGGAUCAGCUGUGCCCAUUGCUACGGAGAGAAUUUCGUGUCUGAGCCUUUUUGAACUGGUAUUCUGGGAGUAAGGAAGGAGAGGCCUGGCUAUUUCUAGUGCUUUCUACAGCAAUCAGUUGGCCCUUUCUGUCCUACACAGAACCAGGGACCACAGGGGACAGAGACGAAGGACGACGACCUCCAGAGCCCAGACGCCCUCGGUGUUUCUUCCACGUGGCACUGCUCUGUGGGAACAGUACCCAGCCUAGCACAUACUGCACACAGACCAUCGUGACAUAUCAAGGUCGCUGAUGAUGUCGUAGGCAUAUGGGCCCUCUGGGAGCUGAUAUAUUUUUUCAACCCUGCUCUGCCUGCCAGCUAGUAGACAUCAUAACUGACUGUGAUCCUUGGAUGCAUCUCUGACGUGUUCAGCUUCUGUUUCCGUUCUCCCUGCUCCCGCAACAGUCACUCCUCCCAGGAAGUAGUUCAGCUGUCCGCUGAAUGUUCGCACGAGGCAUCUUCGUCACCAAGGGCUUGGUGGGCCUCCAGGGGGGCCCCAGCUUUCACAGUCUUUCUGGAUCGCCCUGUACGAACAAGUGGAUGAAGGCAUUCUGGAUUUCGUGAAGGUUUCUCAUCUGGCUUUUAAAAAACCCAUCAACGUUGGAAAACCCAAGGCCUUUAAAGAGAGUCCUGUGCCUGGAACCCCUGAAAUAUAUACUGGGGUUAAUACGCUUAAAGGUGGCUUCAGAAGCAAAGUAACAUCAAGGCCCUAAUUCCGGAACUGGCCCUGCCCGUCUAUCACUGUCUUCCGGUGUGGUGGCAGCCAUGGGAUCCAAAGGAGACUUCUGAUUUCAAGCUCCCUCCUUUUGGUUGAUCUGUCCGACUUUAUUCAGGACUUAGGCAAGGACAGAUUGUCCUUCUGGGACAGCUGUUGCCUUCUCAUUUGUCUCGUUUUGUGUCCUGAGAACUUGGCUUGGCGACCGUCAGGUUGGGCAGCUAUAACAGAAAUGUUAAAAAGCUUAUGCUGAACAAGAUUACAGCCUGACACUGACACCCCUCAUGACCUACUUCCUGGAGAAUCCAUCCGCUGGAAAAGACCCCAACUAAAGGACUCCUGCUUUGCUCCUUGGAAAGGAUCUUUUCUGGUACUGUUCGCCAGUUCCUGCACAGCUAAACUUGAAGGCAUCCGGCCCACCUGAAAGGAGUAACAGGACCAGAAUGAACCAGCAAAGCCACUGGUGAUCUCGCACUUAAGAUCUCCCAGCACCAGAAGCAGACGACAUCAGACAUAGACAGCUAUCCCAAGACAACAGGCCAGGCCUGUAUAACUUAACUUGAUUUCCACCACUGUUCUCUUUACUGUGGAAAUCACGAUGGGUUAUUGUUUUACUCUGAUGCUUUUGCAAAAGUGAGAUUCAUGGCAAGGAACCUACCAAGAAUUCUUGACCACCACAUGGCUGCCAUAUCACAAGGGGUCCAAACUUGGGUACAUAUUUCACAACUGAUGAAGGCUCCACCUGACUUCUGGUCCCGUGCAAAAAAGCUGGAGAUCUCAAAUCAAUCAAACCGACUAGCAAGAGAAGUAGCCACCAUCGAGACAGACUGCUUCCUCCCAAGAUGUCAGAUCAAGAACAUGUCUUUCCAUUCUUCCUUCCCUCUCUGACCAUCCUUUUCCUAAUUCUCACACUGUGAAGGUUUUUAUGAUUUCUUGCUGUCCAUCUUUUUUGCUUUGCUCUGGCUUGGAAAGAUAAUGCCAUUGGUUCACAUACCUAAGGCCGUUGCAAAGGGGGGUAAAUCUAACCUCAAAGACUGCUUGAAUUAUCACGAUGCCGGGGAUUACGCUGUUCUGUCCAUCACGAACUGCUCCCUGAUUUCCAAUGCCUCCGAUUCUCUGGACCAACCUCAGCCAGCCCACCUUUCUGUUGUGUCCCACUCCCUAACCCUGGGGAUCUGCUUCCUUGGCUCUGGUUAACACCCCGGGGAACCCUGCAUCUAGGCUCUGUACAAAGAAAGGGACACAAGGCAAGGGAAAUGAGACUAAAACCACCUGUGCUGUCUACAGACCCUUCAGGUGUACUGGCGUCCACGGCUGUCACCUUUUGGGGCCCGAGCCACAGACGGAAACAGGAAUUACCGGGAAGCAUUCAGUGGUUCAAAAUCUGCUUCCUUUGGAGCAGCCCUACUCCGCCGGCCAGGAGCUGAUGCAAAUGAGGCCACGACCAGGAAGCUCUCCUUACCUCUUGAAGAUUCCAGAAUCUGCUGGUAAAGCAACAGCUGCCCCAUGAAAAUCCCUAGACUCUCUGGCCAAAGUUGUUCUUGAUAAUAAGAGAAGCCUCUGGUUGAUUAUCCUUUAGCUGAACAAGGAGAUGUCUGUGCUGUGACCACCACCACUUGCUGCACCUGGAUCAACACUUCUGGGGAAGGUGAGACUCAGCCAUGCAAGAUUACUGAACGAACCAGUCACUUUCUUAGGCCAACAAACCAGCCAACGGGAUCUUUCCUUGGGGAUUAUUCUGCUUAUAAUAGUCACGGCAGUCGCCGUAGUGUGCUGUAUUCUCGCAAAAGCUUUAAAUGCAGCUUUGCAGCCACUAGCUACCAAGCAAAUGAUCUCCCUCAGAACAGAACGUCAGAAAAGGAACAAAGAGAAUGACCGACUGAAAGACCGUGAACCCAAUGCCGUGACCUGUGAAGACCACACAGAGAUUCAGCAAAAAAAACGAUUUGAAUUCAGUAUGUCCAAGAGUCUGCCUCCUAACAAGCUCCUGGGUGAUGGUGAGGACGGUGCUCGCCUGUGGACCACGUUCUGGAAAGCAGGGCCCUACGGCGCUUGGUAGAGUGCACGGCCGUCACUCGAGCACACUGGGAUGAAAUCGUGGGUGAUCACGUGGCUCUGGACCAACUCAGUCUGCCCUUGGCGCCUGGAGAUACAAACUGCACGAUGCUGUUCUUUUCAACAAACAUUGAACACUAAAACCCGUAAAAGCUUCUACAAGCAUCUGCACGUACGAAGAGCCUGGGAAAGUCUAAAACAUACUUUGUGGUCUUUUCUGGGAAGCAGCAGUGGGGAUAUCUAACAAACACACACCUGAUGUAAAAACAUACAUAUAAACAUCGACUUCCACAUGUAUCUAGAAAUAAGACAUGAAAAUAACGGCUUCCACACCACUCAGAUGUUUCCUUCUGGAAAUUAUGAUACAUACGGGCAAAGGCAACACAGCUGCAGCACAUCUGAGAUCACAGACUCAUGAGCAGUGAAGGGGGAAGGCUGUAAGAACGAAACAUGCCCUUACGAUACCUCUAUUCAUCAGUACUUUGGUGAGUUGGAGACUCAGACCCAUCCAUAAUGGGCGAGUUUUCUGUUGCUUCUCUGAACAAAGGAAAGCAGAAGGAAGAGAAGAGAGGUCAGGUUAAAGAGAGGGGCUGACACAGACACGAUUAGUAGCUUAUUAAUGCGUUGCAAAGCCCAGCUGACUGCACCCAAGCGCUAGUGACACAUGACACAGGCCUUGCGCAACUUUCAGCCCCCUCGCGGGCGUCAAAGACCUCUUUAGUUUUGUUAGGAAGGCAGCCAGGCUUUGGCACUUUUGACCCAUUUCUUAUUUUCUUAUCACAUCACAGAGAACAGUUAUUGUUCAUUAAUGAUAAUUCAACUCAAUCCAAUAAAAGUUUAAGGACCAGAAUUCCUUUUUGUUUCAAAUUGGUCUCGAAUCCUCACUAGCUGUGUGUGAUCAAACAUGGGCAUGUUCCCAGAUCCACUCCAAGGGAAAGGCAGGUGAGGGGUGCUCGUAAGUUCCAAAGCCUGCUGUCAGUCAAAUAACAAUCAUGUAUUUAGAUCAGGUGAGACUGGGUGUGAUCCAGAAAAUUUGGAGGAGCCAGAAAGACAGCCUGAAAUCUGAAGGUCCUUAUUCGGGGUGAGAUGGGUUGGCCAGUGGAGGUACCAUAUACACAGAAGAUCUGUCAUUCUUUUAUGAAUCCAUCUAUCUGUCUUUCUUCUUGAAACUCUUGGGCCCUAAGCCCUGCAGCAGCUGCCUGACCACACGAGCUAGAGGUGGGGUGUGGGUGGCACGUAAGGUAGUGUUAUAAGGGGGUGUAAUAAGGACGGGGGUAGCUGCUGCCCUACAGACAGACCAGGCAGUGGGAGUGGACACAGAACACCGGCAGUUGGGACCGCAGGGUCUGUUAAUUCGAGAGAGUAAGGGGCAGCGUGGGGUGGGUCGGUGAGGGAUCGUCACACCUGAGUGCGUCAGAAUCCCCUGGAGGGCUUGUUAACACCCAGGCCGCCGGGCGCCACCCCGAGUUUCUGAUUCACUGGGUCACGGAUGGGCCCGACAAGUGAAUCUCUAACAAGACCCCAGGCGAUGCUUAUGCUGCUGGUCUGGGGUACCACAUUUUAAGAACCACUGGCUUGGUGGAAAAAGACAAGGCUUUGGUGUCGGCUCACAGAGUGCAGGGCUGAAAUUCCAGCACCAUCCAGCUGUGCGACAUUGGGAAGACACUGAUUUUCUCUGAGCCUCGUCUAUAAAACUAAAAAAAUCUGGGUACUUCCCUUGCAAGAUUGCAGUGAGGAUUAUAUGAGCUCAGAUAUGUUAGAAGAGGCUUCCAGCCUUUGAGUACACAGCAAGCAGUCAAUAAAUGUGAGCUCCCCUUCUGUCAAAUACUAAGGCUGAAUAAAGCCUGGUUUAAAAUCGCUAGAGAUAAAUAUGCAGCAACAAAAAACGUCUGCCAAGAACAGAGCCUGAAAGGUGGAGCCAGUUUGGGUCCUGUAGUUUCCCUCUGGUGUAACUCACAGCUGUCAAAUUUUCCCAGACAUCCCGACGGAUGCCCCAGCAAACGAGAACCUGAAUAAAGCUGGAUAAAGGGACCUCUUAUUCCUUUAGCCACUGGAUAAUGACAGAAUGGAGCAUCCACUUAGAGGCCACGUCUUAGGAGCAACGGAAGAGGCAGGGAUGGUGAGGGGAGCAGGAAGCAGGUCACGUGUACCUGCCGGACUCUUCUGUACCUGAAAACAUCCUAAGUGUCCAUGAGAUUUACUGUUCUAUGUGGUGUUCUCUGCCUACAUUUAAAGCUGAAAAAGGA